GACGAACGCUGGCGGCGUGCUUAACACAUGCAAGUCGUACGGAAAGGCCCCUUUGGGGGUGCUCGAGUGGCGAACGGGUGAGUAACACGUGGGUGAUCUGCCCUGCACUUUGGGAUAAGCCUGGGAAACUGGGUCUAAUACCGGAUAGGACUACGGCCUGCAUGGGUUGUGGUGGAAAGUCCUUUGGAUGGUGUGGGAUGAGCCCGCGGCCUAUCAGCUUGUUGGUGGGGUGAUGGCCUACCAAGGCUGCGACGGGUAGCCGGCCUGAGAGGGUGUUCGGUCACACUGGGACUGAGAUACGGCCCAGACUCCUACGGGAGGCAGCAGUGGGGAAUAUUGCACAAUGGGCGCAAGCCUGAUGCAGCGACGCCGCGUGGGGGAUGACGGCCUUCGGGUUGUAAACCUCUUUCACCAUCGACGAAGCCUUUUGGGUGACGGUAGAUGGAGAAGAAGCACCGGCCAACUACGUGCCAGCAGCCGCCGUAAGAC
rnacentral:rRNA from 1 species